AUAGCGUAUAUUAAAGUUGUUGCAGUUAAAAAGCUCGUAGUUGAAUUUUGGGUUUGGCCGAUUGGUCCGUUCUUGUAGCGAGUACUGGUCGGUUGGGCCUCACCGCUUGGGGAAGCGUAAUGUCCUUUAUUGGGUGUUGCGAAUAUCCAAGACCUUUACCUUGAAAAAAUUAGAGUGUUUAAAGCAGGCAUAUGCCAGAAUACAUUAGCAUGGAAUAAUAGAAUAGGACAAUGAUUCUAUUUUGUUGGUUUCUAGGACCGUUGUAAUGAUUAAUAGGGAUAGUUGGGGGCAUUAGUAUUCAAUUGUCAGAGGUGAAAUUCUUGGAUUUACUGAAGACUAACUACUG
rnacentral:rRNA from 1 species